UACGUAGGGUGCAGGCGUUAAUCGGAAUUACUGGGCGUAAAGCGUGCGCAGGCGGUUUCUUAAGUCAGAUGUGAAAGCCCCGGGCUUAACCUGGGAACUGCGUUUGAAACUGGGAGACUUGAGUGUGGCAGAGGGGGGUGGAAUUCCACGUGUAGCAGUGAAAUGCGUAGAGAUGUGGAGGAACACCGAUGGCGAAGGCAGCCUCCUGGGCCAGCACUGACGCUCAUGCACGAAAGCGUGGGGAGCAAACAGG
rnacentral:rRNA from 1 species